CCUGGGAACUAAGCAUAUCAAUAAGCGGAGGAAAAGAAACUAACAAGGAUUCCCCUAGUAACUGCGAGUGAAGCGGGAAAAGCUCAAAUUUAAAAUCUGGUGGUCUUUGGCCAUCCGAGUUGUAAUUUAGAGAAGCGUCUUCCGCGCUGGACCGUGCACAAGUCUCCUGGAAUGGAGCGUCAUAGAGGGUGAGAAUCCCGUCUUUGGCAUGGACCCCAGGGCUUCUGUGAUGCGCUCUCAAAGAGUCGAGUUGUUUGGGAAUGCAGCUCAAAAUGGGUGGUGAACUCCAUCUAAAGCUAAAUAUUGGCGAGAGACCGAUAGCGAACAAGUACCGUGAGGGAAAGAUGAAAAGCACUUUGGAAAGAGAGUGAAACAGUACGUGAAAUUGUUGAAAGGGAAACGCUUGAAGUCAGUCGCGUCGACCGAGACUCAGCCUUGCCUUGGCUUGGUGUACUUCUCGGCUGACGGGUCAGCAUCAAUUUCGAUCCUUGGAUAAUGGCAAGGGAAAGGUAGCACCUUUACAGGUGUGUUAUAGUCCUCUGUCGCAUGCAAGGGUUGGGAUUGAGGAACUCAGCACGCGCCUUGUCGGUGUCGGGGCCUUUUGGCCUACGUACGUGCUUAGGAUGCUGGCAUAAUGGCUUUAAACGACCCGUCUUGAAACACGGACCAAGGAGUCUAACAUGCACGCGAGUGUUCGGGUGGAAAACCCGUGCGCGUAAUGAAAGUAAAAGUUGGGACCUCUGUCGUGGAGGGCACCGACGCCCGGACCAGACCUUCUGUGACGGCUCUGCGGUAGAGCGUGUAUGUUGGGACCCGAAAGAUGGUGAACUAUGCCUGAAUAGGGUGAAGCCAGAGGAAACUCUGGUGGAGGCUCGUAGCGAUUCUGACGUGCAAAUCGAUCGUCAAAUUUGGGUAUAGGGGCGAAAGACUAAUCGAACCAUCUAGUAGCUGGUUCCUGCCGAAGUUCCCCUCAG
rnacentral:rRNA from 1 species